rnacentral:rRNA from 1 species
GGACUACCGGGGUAUCUAAUCCUGUUUGCUCCCCACGCUGUCGCGCAUCAGUGUCAGUAACUGCCCAGCAGGCCGCCUUCGCCACCGGUCUUCCUCCGGAUCUCUACGCAUUCCACCGCUACACCCGGAAUUCCGCCUGCCCCUACAGUACUCCAGCCUGACAGUCGGCACGGCCGAUCCGGGGUUGAGCCCCGGACUUUCACCACACCCUUAUCAGGCCACCUACGCGCCCUUUACGCCCAGUGAUUCCGGACAACGCUCGCACCCCCCGUAUUACCGCGGCUGCUGGCAC